rnacentral:rRNA from 1 species
GAUGAACGCUGGCGGCGUGCCUAAUACAUGCAAGUCGAGCGAACAGAUGAGGAGCUUGCUCCUCUGACGUUAGCGGCGAACGGGUGAGUAACACGUGGAUAACCUACCUAUAAGACUGGGAUAACUUCGGGAAACCGGAGCUAAUACCGGAUAAUAUAUUGAACCGCAUGGUUCAAUAGUGAAAGACGGUUUUGCUGUCACUUAUAGAUGGAUCCGCGCCGCAUUAGCUAGUUGGUAAGGUAACGGCUUACCAAGGCGACGAUGCGUAGCCGACCUGAGAGGGUGAUCGGCCACACUGGAACUGAGACACGGUCCAGACUCCUACGGGAGGCAGCAGUAGGGAAUCUUCCGCAAUGGGCGAAAGCCUGACGGAGCAACGCCGCGUGAGUGAUGAAGGUCUUCGGAUCGUAAAACUCUGUUAUUAGGGAAGAACAAAUGUGUAAGUAACUAUGCACGUCUUGACGGUACCUAAUCAGAAAGCCACGGCUAACUACGUG